GAUUGAACGCUGGCGGCAUGCCUAACACAUGCAAGUCGAACGGGGGUAGCAAUACCCAGUGGCGGACGGGUGAGGAAUACAUAGGAAUUUGCCUUUAGGUGGGGGGAUAGCCCGGGGAAACUCGGAGUAAUACCGCAUGAUGUCGAAAGACCAAAGUAGGGGAUCGCAAGACCUUGCGCCUUUAGAGAAGCCUAUGUCUGAUUAGCUAGUUGGUAGGGUAAUGGCCUACCAAGGCGACGAUCAGUAACUGGUCUGAGAGGACGAUCAGUCACACCGGAACUGAGACACGGUCCGGACUCCUACGGGAGGCAGCAGUGGGGAAGUAUUGGACAAUGGGCGAAAGCCUGAUCCAGCAAUGCCGCGUGUGUGAAGAAGGCCUCG
rnacentral:rRNA from 1 species